CAUCGAAGGAAAUGCCUGCCGAAUCCAUCGGCGACAUGCCCAGGUAGCCAGGUCUUCAAGGCUACGGCGCGGCAUUGCCGCGUUGACCGACCCGUUCGCUUCGCAUCCUCGACGCGAGCAGCCGCCGCACCCCGCGGUGGUGGAUGC
rfam:Burkholderiales bacterium 70-64 SCNpilot_expt_1000_bf_scaffold_430, whole genome shotgun sequence.